GUCAUGAUAGCUCAGUUGGUUGAAGUAUAGUGCUGAAAAUGCCAAGGUUACAGGUUCUAUCCUUGUAUGGGACA